CCGUCGCGGCUGCCGCGGAGUCCCCAAAGGAACCCUAACAGGAGCUAGGGGGCAACAGCAGAAUGAGAGAGUGUGUGCUGGGUGCCUGAGAGCCCAGACAUAUAUUAGAAGCAGCCCAGCAUGGAACCAGCUCAUCAUCAGGUGAAGAGGGGCCAGGAGAGGGAAACAAAGGUGUAUGACACACGAUUCAGUGUUCUCAUCACAAGAGAAGAAUUUUAUUUCAUUUCUGGAUAUACAUGCAUUCUACCAACAGUCUCCACCUUCAGCUUACUGAGGAGUUAGGAAGGAUGGAAAGAAAAAGGUUGGCUUUGCUUUCCCUUCCCCUCCAGCUCAUCAUUUUCAGCAUAAGGAUAUGACAGGAUUCCUUGGUCCUCACGUUUCUCAGAACUCUAUUGCAUUCUUUCUGCACUGGAAAUGAGUUCUGGUGCAAAAGGCAAGUGUGGCCUCUUUGGUUUGUUACCACCGCUGCUCCACCUCCCCAGACCCACCUCACUCACUUGUAGAUGCAGAACUGAGCUUGUUCUGGCUUUGAGUCCUGCUGACCUCCCACGCCCUCUGGGUCCCCUGGAGUUCUGUGCUCAUGGGGCAUCAUAGACAUUAUAUGCAAAUGGGACAGCAAGAAAUGGCAGCAGGCACACAUACUGCCCAGAUCUUGUCUGCUCACAGGCAUGCUCCACUGUUCCAUCGGACUUCACUUGCAAAACCCAAGUUCAAAAAUAAGAUUACUCAGAAUUUCAAAACAGUGACAGCAGAGCAUUAAACCAAGUGCAGGGCCCUUCUGAGCACAGAGCCCUGUACCCCUACUCAGGCACCU